UACGUAGGGGGCAAGCGUUAUCCGGAUUUACUGGGUGUAAAGGGAGCGCAGACGGCAGUGCAAGUCUGAUGUGAAAGCCCGGGGCUCAACCCCGGAACUGCAUUGGAAACUGUACAGCUUGAGUGUCGGAGGGGUAAGCGGAAUUCCUAGUGUAGCGGUGAAAUGCGUAGAUAUUAGGAGGAACACCGGUGGCGAAGGCGGCUUACUGGACGAUAACUGACGUUGAGGCUCGAAAGCGUGGGGAGCAAACAGGAUUAGAUACCCUGGUAGUCCCUGA
rnacentral:rRNA from 1 species